UGCUGGGACUGGUAGCAUGAAUGCUGUGU
rnacentral:piRNA from 1 species